AUUGAACGAUGGCGGCAGGCCUAACACAUGCAAGUCGAGCGGAGCGGCGGACGGGUGAGUAAUGCCUAGGAAUAUGCCUGGUAGUGGGGGAUAACGUCGGGAAACGGGCGCUAAUACCGCAUACUAACAGAUAAGCCUAGGUCGGAGUAGCUAGUUGGGGGGGGAAAGGCCUACCAAGGCGACGAUCCGUAACUGUUCUGAGAGGAUGAUAAGUUAAACUGGUACUGAGACACGGUCCAGACUCCUACGUGAGGCAGCAUUGGGGAAUAGUGGACAAUGGGCGAAAUCCUGCUCCAGCCAUGCCGCGUGUGUGAAGAAGUUCUUCGGAUUGUAAAGCACUUUAAGUUGGGAGGCGUUCCCAACAGAAUACGCACCGGCUAACUUCGUGCCAGCCGCCGCGGUAAUAC
rnacentral:rRNA from 1 species